GAUGAAGAACGUAGCGAAAUGCGAUAAGUAGUGUGAAUUGCAGAAUUCAGUGAAUCAUCGAAUCUUUGAACGCACAUUGCGCCCUUUGGUAUUCCAAAGGGCAUGCCUGUUCGAGCGUCAUUUGUACCCUCAAGCUUUGCUUGGUGUUGGGCGUCUUGUCUCUAGCUUUGCUGGAGACUCGCCUUAAAGUAAUUGGCAGCCGGCCUACUGGUUUCGGAGCGCAGCACAAGUCGCACUCUCUAUCAGCAAAGGUCUAGCAUCCAUUAAGCCUUUUUUUCAACUUUUGACCUCGGAUCAGGUAGGAAUACCCGCUGAACUUAAGCAUAUCAAUAAGCGGAGGA
rnacentral:misc_RNA from 1 species